rnacentral:rRNA from 1 species
GACGAACGCUGGCGGCGUGCUUAACACAUGCAAGUCGAACGGGAUCUGCGUGGCCUUUGUGGUUGUGUGGUGAGAGUGGCGAACGGGUGAGUAACACGUGAGUAACCUGCCUUUUUCUUUGGGAUAACGCUCAGAAAUGGGUGCUAAUACUGGAUGUUCUGCGCUUUCCGCAUGGGGGGUGUGGGAAAGGGGCCUUUGUGGUUUCUGGAGGGAGAUGGGCUCGCGGCUUAUCAGCUUGUUGGUGGGGUGAUGGCUUACCAAGGCUUUGACGGGUAGCCGGCCUGAGAGGGUGGGCGGUCACAUUGGGACUGAGAUACGGCCCAGACUCCUACGGGAGGCAGCAGUGGGGAAUUUUGCACAAUGGGGGGAACCUUGAUGCAGCGACGCCGCGUGAGGGAUGGAGGCCUUCGGGUUGUGAACCUCUUUCGCUCGUGUGCAAGCCGCUAUUUGGGUAGUGGUGAGUGUAGCGGGUAAAGAAGCGCCGGCUAACUACGUGCCAGCAGCCGCGGUAAUACGUAGGGCGCGAGCGUUGUCCGGAUUUAUUGGGCGUAAAGGGCUUGUAGGCGGUUUGUCGCGCCUGUCGUGUAAUCCUCUGGCUUAACUGGGGGUGUGCGGUGGGUACGGGCAGGCUUGAGUGCGGUAGGGGAGAUUGGAAUUCCUGGGUGUAGCGGUGGAAUGCGCAGAUAUCAGGAGGAACACCGGGUGGCGAAGGCGGGGUCUCUGGGGCCGUUACUGACGCUGAAGAGCGAAAGCGUGGGGAGCGAACAGGAUUGAUACCCUGGUAGUCCAAGGCGAAUUCCACAGUGAAAUCAAGUUUAUCCUACUGCCCAACUCCAGGGGG